rnacentral:rRNA from 1 species
UACGGAGGGUGCAAGCGUUAUCCGGAUUCACUGGGUUUAAAGGGUGCGUAGGCGGCCAGGUAAGUCAGUGGUGAAAUCUCUGGGCUUAACUCAGAAACUGCCGUUGAUACUAUUUGUCUUGAAUAUCAUGGAGGUAAGCGGAAUAUGUCAUGUAGCGGUGAAAUGCUUAGAUAUGACAUAGAACACCAAUAGCGAAGGCAGCUUACUACAUGGAGAUUGACGCUGAGGCACGAAAGCGUGGGGAGCAAACAGG